UACAGAGGGUGCAAGCGUUAAUCGGAAUUACUGGGCGUAAAGCGUGCGUAGACGGUUAUGUAAGUCAGGUGUGAAAGCCCAGGGCUCAACCUUGGAAUUGCAUUUGAGACUGCAUAGCUAGGGUGCGGAAGAGGGAAGCGGAAUUUCCGGUGUAGCGGUGAAAUGCGUAGAUAUCGGAAGGAACACCAGUGGCGAAAGCGGCUUCCUGGUCCAGCACCGACGUUCAGGCACGAAGGCGUGGGGAGCAAACAGG
rnacentral:rRNA from 1 species